GACAGAGGGUGCAAACGUUGUUCGGAAUUAUUGGGCGUAAAGCGCUCGUAGGCGGAUCGGUAAGUCUGUGAAGAAAGACCCGGGCUCAACUCGGGGAACGGCAUAGAUACUGCUGAUCUUGAGACAGUCAGAGGAUGAUGGAAUUCCAGGUGUAGCGGUGAAAUGCGUAGAUAUCGGGAGGAACACCAGUGGCGAAGGCGGCGACCUGGACGGACACUGACGCUGAGACGCGAAAGCGUGGGGAGCAAACAGG
rnacentral:rRNA from 1 species